GCCUUCAUAGUAAAAUGGUCAACACGCUCAACCCGUGUUUGAGAGAUCCGAGGUUCAAGUCUCAGCGAGGGCA
rnacentral:tRNA from 1 species